UACGUAGGUGGCAAGCGUUAUCCGGAAUUAUUGGGCGUAAAGCGCUCGCAGGCGGUUUCUUAAGUCUGAUGUGAAAGCCCACGGCUCAACCGUGGAGGGUCAUCGGAAACUGGAGAACUUGAGUACAGAAGAGGAAAGCGGAAUUCCACGUGUAGCGGUGAAAUGCGUAGAGAUGUGGAGGAACACCAGUGGCGAAGGCGGCUUUCUGGUCUGUAACUGACGCUGAGGCGCGAAAGCGUGGGGAGCAAACAGG
rnacentral:rRNA from 1 species